UUGGCGGACGGGUGAGUAACGCGUGGAAAACCUGCCGUAUACUGGGGGAUAACACUUAGAAAUAGGUGCUAAUACCGCAUAAGCGCACAGCUUCGCAUGAAGCGGUGUGAAAACUCUGGUGGUAUACGAUGGUUCCGCGUCUGAUUAGCUAGUUGGUGGGGUAAUGGCCUACCAAGGCAACGAUCAGUAGCCGGCCUGAGAGGGUGAACGGCCACAUUGGGACUGAGACACGGCCCAAACUCCUACGGGAGGCAGCAG
rnacentral:rRNA from 1 species